rnacentral:rRNA from 1 species
CAGCCGCCGCGGUAAUACGUAGGGUGCAAGCGUUAAUCGGAAUUACUGGGCGUAAAGCGUGCGCAGGCGGUUAUAUAAGACAGAUGUGAAAUCCCCGGGCUCAACCUGGGAACUGCAUUUGUGACUGUAUAGCUAGAGUACGGCAGAGGGGGAUGGAAUUCCGCGUGUAGCAGUGAAAUGCGUAGAUAUGCGGAGGAACACCGAUGGCGAAGGCAAUCCCCUGGGCCUGUACUGACGCUCAUGCACGAAAGCGUGGGGAGCAAACAGGAUUAGUUACCCGAGUAGUCCCUGUCUCUUAUAC